GGGGGAUAUUGCACAAUGGGGGAAACCCUGAUGCAGCGACGCCGCGUGGAGGAAGAAGGUUUUCGGAUUGUAAACUCCUGUCGUUAGGGACGAUAAUGACGGUACCUAACAAGAAAGCACCGGCUAACUACGUGCCAGCAGCCGCGGUAAAACGUAGGGUGCAAGCGUUGUCCGGAAUUACUGGGUGUAAAGGGAGCGCAGGCGGGAAGACAAGUUGGAAGUGAAAACCAUGGGCUCAACCCAUGAAUUGCUUUCAAAACUGUUUUUCUUGAGUAGUGCAGAGGUAGAUGGAAUUCCCGGUGUAGCGGUGGAAUGCGUAGAUAUCGGGAGGAACACCAGUGGCGAAGGCGGUCUACUGGGCACCAACUGACGCUGAGGCUCGAAAGCAUGGGUAGCAAACAGGAUUAGAUACCCUGGUAGUCCAUGCCGUAAACGAUGAUUACUAGGUGUUGGGGGAUUGACCCCCUCAGUGCCGCAGUUAACACAAUAAGUAAUCCACCUGGGGAGUACGACCGCAAGGUUGAAACUCAAAGGAAUUGACGGGGGCCCGCACAAGCAGUGGAGUAUGUGGUUUAAUUCGAAGCAACGCGAAGAACCUUACCAGGUCUUGACAUCCGAUGCAUAGCACAGAGAUGUGUGAAAUCCUUCGGGACAUCGAGACAGGUGGUGCAUGGUUGUCGUCAGCUCGUGUCGUGAGAUGUUGGGUUAAGUCCCGCAACGAGCGCAACCCUUAUUGCCAGUUACUACGUUAAGAGGACUCUGGCGAGACUGCCGUUGACAAAACGGAGGAAGGUGGGAAUGACGUCAAAUCAUCAUGCCCUUUAUGACCUGGGCUACACACGUACUACAAUGGCGUUAAACAAAGAGAAGCAAGACCGCGAGGUGGAGCAAAACUCAAAAACAACGUCUCAGUUCAGAUUGCAGGCUGCAACUCGCCUGCAUGAAGUCGGAAUUGCUAGUAAUCGCGGAUCAGCAUGCCGCGGUGAAUACGUUCCCG
rnacentral:rRNA from 1 species